rnacentral:rRNA from 1 species
GCUAACACGGUACCCGUAUCUUUUAACCGGUACCCGGAGGGUCUGCUCGCUGGCCGGAUUCUUGGCGCACGGGUGAGUAACACGUAAGUAACCUGCCCUUAACUCUGGGAUAAGCAUGGGAAACUGGGUCUAAUACCGGAUAGGAGCGUCCACCGCAUGGUGGGUGUUGGAAAGAUUUAUCGGUUUUGGAUGGACUCGCGGCCUAUCAGCUUGUUGGUGAGGUAAUGGCUCACCAAGGCGACGACGGGUAGCCGGCCUGAGAGGGUGACCGGCCACACUGGGACUGAGACACGGCCCAGACUCCUACGGGAGGCAGCAGUGGGGAAUAUUGCACAAUGGGCGCAAGCCUGAUGCAGCGACGCCGCGUGAGGGAUAACGGCCUUCGGGUUGUAAACCUCUUUCAGUAGGGAAGAAGCGAAAGUGACGGUACCUGCAGAAGAAGCACCGGCUAACUACGUGCCAGCAGCCGCGGUAAUACGUAGGGUGCGAGCGUUAUCCGGAAUUAUUGGGCGUAAAGAGCUCGUAGGCGGUUUGUCGCGUCUGUCGUGAAAGUCCGGGGCUUAACCCCGGAUCUGCGGUGGGUACGGGGCAGACUAGAGUGCAGUAGGGGAAGACUGGGAAUUCCUGGUGUAGCGGUGGAAUGCGCAGAUAUCAGGAGGAACACCGAUGGCGAA